rnacentral:rRNA from 1 species
UACGUAGGGUCCGAGCGUUGUCCGGAAUUAUUGGGCGUAAAGGGCUCGUAGGCGGUCCGUCACGUCGGGAGUGAAAACUCAGGGCUCAACCCUGAGCGUGCUUCCGAUACGGGCGGACUAGAGGUAUGCAGGGGAGAACGGAAUUCCUGGUGUAGCGGUGGAAUGCGCAGAUAUCAGGAGGAACACCGAUGGCGAAGGCAGUUCUCUGGGCCGUAACUGACGCUGAGGAGCGAAAGCAUGGGGAGCGAACAGG